GACAGAGGGUGCAAACGUUGUUCGGAAUUACUGGGCGUAAAGCGCGUGUAGGCGGCUAAGUAAGUCGGGCGUGAAAUCCCACGGCUCAACCGUGGAAGUGCACUCGAAACUGCAUAGCUAGAGUCCUGGAGAGGAAGGUGGAAUGCUUGGUGUAGAGGUGAAAUUCGUAGAUAUCAAGCGGAACACCGGUGGCGAAGGCGGCCUUCUGGACAGUGACUGACGCUGAGACGGCGAAAGCGUGGGAGCAAACAGG
rnacentral:rRNA from 1 species